GUCUCCGCUGCUGCGCGCGCUCCCGCUGGCUCUCCACCACCGGUCUCUUCCCAGUCUGGCAGGCCGCUUAGCUCGACGUGGAGUGGGAGUGGCGCCAAAAUUCAAACGAACUGCCGCAGUUGCAGGCGUGGUAUCGCCUGCUUCGAGAAGGUUGGCAGCCAGGAGUGGCCUUGACCUCACCCCAACUCUAACCCGGUGGCAGCCGCGCUGGGGAAGGGCAGAACUACACAGGUGCCUCUGAGGCCUCACCUUAGGACUGUUGGCAAGCCUGGAGGGUUCUCCAGGACUGAACUACAACAUCCUGGUGUCUGCUUGCCUAGAGGACUGGUCAGCUUCUUAAAGGAGUCUAAAACCUACUGAUGUAGCCACCUUAGGGUCCUUCAUGAUUGCUUUUUACUUCAAAGAACUGUGUAAAAAGACCAGACACAGCAGGGAGUCUUCGGACUUUUCACAUGAAUGCUUUCAAGCAUCUGUGGCAAUAUCUUAGUUUACAUAUGCAGUCAACUGGACAGCAGACACAACUCUUCAUGGAUGGGCAGCACCCCUGAACUACAUGCUGUACUCUCAGCCAUGAUGCUAUUGUCUUCAGAUCUUCUUAGAUGAAUGGAAGGCUCAACCAAGGAAGCAAGGGCAUCCCACAGCAUGAACAGACUCAUGUUUUCACUUUCUCUCUGUAUACAGUUUUGAGAGCCAGGAAUUCUUAGGUUGUUUUCUGAAGCAAGGAUGAUAACAAUAUCCAGGCACAAAUGCCAAGGAGACCAAUGAGAUAAUAAACUAUAAAUUUC
rnacentral:lncRNA from 1 species